rnacentral:rRNA from 1 species
UACGAGGGGGGCGAGCGUUGUUCGGAAUUAUUGGGCGUAAAGGGCGCGUAGGCGGUGCGGUAAGUCACCUGUGAAACCUCUGGGCUUAACCCGGAAAGGUCAGCCGAUACUGCGGGGCUAGAGUGCAGAAGGGGCAACUGGAAUUCUCGGUGUAGCGGUGAAAUGCGUAGAUAUCGAGAGGAACACCUGCGGCGAAGGCGGGUUACUGGGCUGACACUGACGCUGAGGCGCGAAAGCUAGGGGAGCGAACGGG